AGAAUAACUCAUUUUGUGUAGACAAUAUGUCUAAGUGUCUGGGGAUUAUUUUAUAUAGAGGAUGCCAUUCACUAAGACUGAAGGAGGAUUUACCUGCAGCAAUGGAAAUAUAAGGUGCUUUACAACCAGAGCAAUACAUGUUUGGGAUUCACUGUCCAGAAAGGGUGAGAUGUUCUAUUCUUUUCUGGACAAUUCUCUAAAGUGGGUUAGAUUGUCUUUUUUUUUUAUUUAUUAUUAUUAUUUAGAGUAGUUUAUAAAAUGCUAUUGAAAUGAUCCUUUCAUAGUAACUUGCUAAUUAUGAUACCUUCAAUAUAAAGUAUCUGAUUUAUGUAUUUAUUUUUAUAGCUAAGCUUGUGACACAGCACAGCAUAUAGUUCUUCUUUAUAUAUAAAACCAUUCCAUUCAUGUGAUAACAUUUAUAACACCCAUUUAGCAGGGCUCCCUUAUAGACAAUAUAGGUAAAGGGUAGAGGCUGUUAAUUAUUUUUGUUGCUGCCUUGAAUGUCAGAAUCAGUGUGACUUAUCAAAAUAGUUAAUUCUGUCGAUCAGGGGAGAAAUUUACUGUCUUGUAAACAGUACAGAAUCCACUUUAAGUCCAUUAACCCCACAAGGACCAAACUUCUGGAAUAAAAGGGAAUCAUGACAUGUCAUGUGUCCUUAAGGGGUUAAACAGAAAAGCCUAAUCAGUUUCUGAAAGAGAAAAAGAACAGGCAGGGCUACAUAUAUACACUUUGGUAAACACAAUUUUCAAGAUCACCAUUUGGUUCCAAGUGUCUGAACUGCUGUGGACAAAUUUCAGGCCUAUUCAUUUAAUAAUUCUAAACUUUAUUAGAAACAAAAUUUAAAUUGAAUACUUUGCAUUGAAAACCUUUCCCUCUAUUAUUUUGAUCUUUAUUAGAAUUUUCCAAGCAAACUGCACCAUUCUAUCUAAUAAUUGUUGCCACAUUACUAUUACUUCAUUAUGGAACACCAUAAAAAAAACAGAAUCCGGUUUAUGAUCCAGUGAAAAGCUGGGUAUAUACAGCAGAUUUCAUUGGGGUGUACACACAUGGAUUAUUUCAAUAAAUUAGUAAUAUUUAUUGAAAACCCAGUCAUUUCUAUUCUCAAAACACAUUUAAGCAAUACAAAUCAAAAAAUUUAAAUAUCUCUUUUUGUCAUUUUUACAUAUACAUCACACAAUAUGGGAAAAAUUAAAUUUCUGUAUCAGUAUCUAUUCAUAGACAAGAAAUACAUGUAUGCCUCAUAAUUCUAAAGAAAAUAUUUUUGAAUUUCCUUGUUUUAUAUUUAGUGGCUCAUAACAUAACAAUACGGAAAAAACAAUAAAGUAAAAAAUAAUAAUGAUUUUUUACUACUGCUCCUUUUUCCCUGUCUUGGUAAAAAAUAAAUUGUCACUUGAUCUGUGAACCAAAUGGCAGGGAAAUGCACAAAUCAAUGUAUUGCAAAAUAUAUACAUUAUAAAAUAUAUUUAUAUAUUAUAUAGACACAUUUUUCUGCUGUGCAAAGUUUAAUAUUACAUUAUUGAAAAGCAUUUAACAAUUUAAAAAAAUGAAUUGUGUAAAAGCUGAGUUUUUCUCUACUAGGAGAAAUAUACCACUUUUCUUCCUUUAUACGGCAUUGAAAAAUCUUUUUUGUUAACAUCAAUCUUCCACGUAUAUAUAUUUUACAGGUCAGAUUAAUCAUAACGUAUGGCCAGGUUAAAGGACCACUCUAGGCACCCAGACCACUUCAGCUUAAUGAAGUGGUCUGGGUGCCAGGUCCUUCUCGGGUUAACCCAUUUUUUUAUAAACAUAGCAGUUUCAGAGAAACUGCUAUGUUUAUAAAUGGGUUAAUCCUUCCCCCUAAUCCUCUAGUGGCUGUCUCAUUGACAGCCACUAGAGGCGCUUGCGUGCUUCUCACUGUGAUUUUCACGGUGAGAGCACGCAAGCGUCCAUAGGAAAGCAUUGUAAAUGCUUUCCUAUGCGACGGGCUGAAUGCGCGCGCAGCUCUUGCCGCGCGUGCGCAUUCAGCCCAGGAGGAGGAACGGAGGAGGAUCAGAGGCAGAGAGCUCCCCGCCCAGCGCUGGAAAAAGGCAAGUUUUAACCCCUUUCCCCCUUCCAGAGCCGGGCGGGAGGGGAUCCCUGAGGGUGGGGGCACCCUCAGGGCACUAUAGUGCCAGGAAAACGAGUAUGUUUUCCUGGCACUAUAGUGGUCCUUUAAGCUGAAAUAUAUUGUUGCAAUACCAGCAGAAAGCAUUGUUAAAAAAAUUUUUUGUAUCAGGGGUAUUCACUGAAAUAAGAAUUGCUGGAAAAUCUAAGAAAAUGUAAACCUUAAAGGGACACUAUAAGCAUCUCAAUUAAAUGGUCUGGGUGCAGUGACCCUGUCCCCUUAACCCUGCAUUGUAAAACAUUUAAGUUUUAGAGAAAUUGCAAUGAUUUCCAAACAGCCACUAGCGGUGCUUCCUCAAUACACAGAGUUUAACUUCGUGACGAGACACUUUGCAUGAGGACAUUCAGAAUCUUGAAAACUCCCACAGGAAAGCAUUGAUUCAAUGCCUAUGAGUAGCACAUUAGGUUCCCCCACCUCCAUGACGUUGUGGGAGGAGGCGAUCGAUCCAGUGCAGAGGGAGCUCACCAAUGGAAUCUGGUAAGUGAAAGGAAGGGUUUUUAUCCCUUUCAUGACUGGUGGGAGGGUUGUAGAGGCAGAGAGACACUAUAGUGUUCCUUUAAGUCCAAGUUAGCCAAUCUCAUAUCCUUAUUGACUUAGAGUAUUUUUCGUUAAACAUCUUUUUUUUUUUUUAAAUAUAUAUUUUGCCCUAAAAUUUGAAAUUCACUUCAAAUUCGUUCUGAAUUCCCAGCAAUUCACACUUUGGUGAAAAACCCUGCAUAUGGGAUUUCUGACACUGUAUCAAAUGUAUUAAGAUAAUUACUUGCCUGAAGACAACAUGUACAUUCUCCAGAACAGGGACAUAUAGCAAUGUUUGUAGUCACCCACCAUAAACAAUAGUCACACCUGCUUCCAUCCAUUUUUAAUGUCUAUGUUUGCAGUUUUUCCACUGAUGAGGCCUUAAAUAAGCCCUGUUGAUCUAUUGAUGCAGAUGCAAACCAACAGGUUACUGCAGUAUAUUUUAGUAUAUUUUCUGUGGAUAAACCAAAAAAAAUUGAAUAUAUCAGGUUUAUAUAAAUCUGCUUAAUCAUUUAUAAAGUGAUUAACUCCUUAAAGCUUAUUGUGAUGAUUUGAUAAAGUGCACAUAAAUAUUACCACACUUAUUAUUUUCAAAAUUCUAUUAGUUAAAAAAAGGGGGGGCAUUAAAAAUACUGCAAUGCUUCGUUAUUCAGUAUCGUAAUAUGCAUUGGCCAUGUGUAAGUGUAGCAGAAAACCUAAACAUGGGUCUGCCAGAUAUAUAAUAACAAAAACACCUUUAAUGGUUAUUAUCAACAGAAGUAAAACUAUUGCAAUGUAACUGUUUAAAUACUGUGAGGGUAUAUGUAAAUACCUUGUUUUUCUAGCAGAUGUUUUCUAUUUAUAUAGUUACAAUCUAUUUAAUACACUGAUCGGCCACAACAUUAAAACCAUCUGCCUAAUAUCCUCGUGAUGCCAAAACAGCUCUGAUGCAUAGAGGCAUGUUCUCCACAAGACCUCUGAACUUAUCCUGUAGUAUCCGACAGCAAGACAUUAGCAGUAGUUCCUUUAAGUCCUGCAAGUUGCAAGGUGGGGUCUCCAUAGAUCGGAUUUGUUGCUCCAGCCCAUCCUACAGAUGCUCAAUCUGAUUGAGAUCUGGGGAAUUUGGAGGCCAAGGCAACACCUUGAAGUCAUUGCCAUGUUCCUUAAACCAUUCCCAAACAUUUUUGCAGUGUGGCAGUAUGCAUUACCUGCAGAAAGAGACCACUGCCAUCAGCGAUCCAUCAGACCAGGCGUCCUUCCAUUGCUCCAUGGUCCAGUUCUGAUGCUCACGUCCCCAUUGAAGGCUCUUUAGGCUGUGGACAGGGGUCAUCAUGUGCAUUCUGACUGGUCUGUGGCUACACAGCCCCAUACGCUGCAAACUGGGAUGCACUUUGUGUUCUGACAUCUUUGUAUCAUGGCCAACAUUACUUUUUUCAGAAAUUUGAGCUACAGUAGCUCUUCUGUAUGAUCUGAGCCAACUGGUUAUCUGUCACUUCCCAUGUACAUCAAUGAGUCUUGGGCAUCUGUACCUUUAGUAUAUUACAGGAUCAUAUAGCCAUAUACAUGCACCGUGGGACAGACCAUGUUUGCAAAUUUCAAAGCCAUUUUUAUGAACAGGGAGCUACUGAUUGACUUAGAGUGCCAGCUGACCAUUCUAGCGGCGCCUAUGCCCAGGAGGACCUGGAGACCAGCACUGGAAUCAACCUUUGGGGUUAAAACAUUCAAGAACUAUUUAAACCCGUAAGUUAAGAUUGCGCCCUAAGGCGUUCUGGAACCAUAACAACUUAAUUUAGAUGAAGUUGUUAUGGUGACCAGAGUGAACCUUUUGAUAAACGCUUAUUCCCUCAAAGCCAGCAGUUGCUGCCAAUAUGUUUCCUUUUUUUCUGUCGCUGUUGUCUACUUUAUUUUAUCCAUGUAACACACUUACUUGUUGAAAAACAUUUCUAUUUUGCUUUGUAUAAAGCGACACAUUUUGUAUAUUAUUAAUACAUUUACUGUGCUAGUACUAUAUUUUAUUACACAUUUCUAUGUCAUUUUCUUUUUAUCAUUUAAUUUCACACUCUGAUGCUGUUAAAUUGCCUCUGUCUCCUGUUAGCGGAUGAUGUGCAUGUUAAAAAUAGUGUUCUAAUAUCACAAUGUCAUGGACUUAACUGCCCUUCUAUCUAUUGUAUGUGUUUAAUAAAUGGAUAUGUACAUGUUGGUCAAUCAUUAAGGCACUUCCUUGAGAAAGCAUCCUGCUUGUGUUACUAAAAAAGAGAAUUAAAUCAAAGGGGGGAAUUCUUUUUACAUUAGUAUAGCUAAGGUCACUACAUCUGACUAGGAGAAAUUGCUUAUUCGGAGAAUCUUGAUCGAAAUUUUGGAAUUGUUUUCAAUUUGCUGUUUAGGAAAUAAACCAGAAGAUUACUUUUCAAAAAUGUGAUACAUAUAAAUGAAUAUUUAGAUGUAAAGAGGAAGGAUAUAGGCGCUCACUAAAAAAACCCAAUAAAUGUGAAAAGGCAGCAGUGAACCUGCAGGACUUCCCAAUGCCUGCUAAAUAGUGAAAAAGAAAAAGUGGUAGACCGCGCCAAAAGAAUAAGUAAUCAAAUAAUCAUAUAUAUACAUACAUGUAGUUCUUGAAUUUUACAGCAUAUGGGAACCUCAAAAAGAACAAUAAACAAUAAUAGUGCAAUAUGCAAAAGUAUUAUAGUAAUGUAUAAAUAAGAUACACUGUGGGUAAAGAGCAAACUCACACUUUACCGAGCUGCUAGGAGCUCUGCCGUAUAACACCUGGACGGUACAAUCCCCGUCUUAGGAUAUGAAGUUCUUGAAUGUUACAGCAUAUGGAAACCUCAAAGAAAACAAUAAACAAUAAUAGUGCAAUAUGUAAAGGUAUUAUAGUAAUGUAUAAAUAAGAUACACUGUGAGUAAAGAGCAAACUCACACUUUACCGAGCUGCUAGGAGCUCUGCCGUAUAACGCCUGGACGGUACAAUCCCCGUCUUAGGAUCUGAAUAUACCAGGAGGUCCAAAUUCAACGGUCGUAUAUAUAUGAAAAAAACAAAAUAUACAGACCAAUGGUACAGUAUCAUAAACUGGAAAUAAUAUAGAAAAAAGUAGGUAUCCUACUUACAGUAUCCAGAGCAAUGACUUGCUCUGGUGAUGACAGCUUAUGGUGGUAUAAUCCCCACCACAGGAUAUAACAGGAAAGCAGCAGCACCAGAAGAUAUGCAAAAGCCAAGGGAUUUGAAAAAAGGCAAUGAAAUUUAUUGUUAAAAAAAUAUAUAUAUAUUAAAAUAUAUAUAAAUAAAAGUAUAUAAAAAACAUAUAUAGUAACUUCAAAUCCUAUCCUUGACGCGUUUCGCCCGGGUUUGGGCUUUUUCAAAAGAGAGGAUGUCCUUGGCAUUCCGCCCGGUUUAUAUAGGGAGAGUUGAUAGUUCGAUAAUAAUCUGGUGUGGUGCUGUUCUUCCUAUUUCCUGUUUGGUCGCGGGCGUCGACCGGAAAUGACGCGCCGCGACCAUUAGUAUGUACUGGGAGAUGUAGUCCAUAUGAGGCAUGCAGUUCAGAUCGCGGCCGUCAACCGGAAGUGACGUGCCGCGAGUACCAGUGUAUGAUGGGAAAUGUAGUUUCCCCAAGUGUCCAUCUGUUGUAUUCGUAGUCAUAAGCCGGAAACCGGAAAUGCCAUGCCAUAAAUGGUAGCUGGGAUAUGUAGUCUCUUAAAAUCUAUUACAAUGUAUAAUUUUAAUGUGCAAAUACAGUAUAAUCAAUUCAUAUUAUCAGUGAAGCAUGCACAACAUGAUAUAUAGUGAUUACUGUGAGCAAACAGAUUCCAGUAGUGUAUAUACAUCCUUAUUGGGAAAACAUAGCCUACAGUGGUUAAUCUGAUAGUGAUGAUGUAAUAAGGCAUACUUAAUGUAAUCUAUACAAAUAAAAAUAUAUUUUAGGAAAAUAGAGAAAUACUCUUGAUUAUUAGAGAUGCCAAAUAUAGUUUAUACUCAAGAAUUUAUUUAUCGCACUAUACAAACAAAAAGACAACCACUAUAGGGAAUGAUCCCAACUUUGAGGUAAGAAUGACAAAAAGAGAGGGAAAAAAUAAAAUAAAUAUAUAUAUAUAUAUUUAUUAUAAAAAAUUGAAAAGGUCGAAUUCAGCAUUCAAUCCUUUCGGGUGUAGGGUGUCUAAAUAGUACACCCACUCCAUUUCUUUUUUGCCCAAUCUUUUGAUCAUAUCUCCACCUCUCCAAUAUUGUGGCAUCUUAGUGAUACCCAUAAAUUUUAACUCACGAGGAUCAUUCUUGUGUAUUUCGAAAUGGGAUGAUACUAGAUGAUUUUUAAAACCUUUCUCUAUGUUUCUACAGUGUUCCCCUAUUCGGGUUUUCAAAGGUCUUAUAGUUCUUCCUAUAUACUGUAAGCCACAUGGACACUCUAAAAGGUAUAUAACGUUUUUGCUCAUACAGGUAAUAGUGUCUUUAAUUUGAUAAAUUUUAUUGGUAUUAUUUGAUUUAAAGUUUAAAGUAUGUCUGUCUAUCUUUUUAGUUUUUCUGCAUGCUAUACAGCAGUUGCAUCUAUAAAACCCAUUUUUAGUUUGUAAAAAAUUCUUAAGGGCAUUGGAGCUUUUCUCCUGUCUUGUGAAGUUUUUUGUAAGUUGCAUUUUUAAGUUAGGUGCCCCUCUAAAUAUUAUUUUUGGCUUAUCCGGAAUAAUAGUACCUAGUAUAGCAUCUUCUUUUAGUAGGUGCCAGUUUUUAUUGAUAAUCUUUUUCAUUUCUCUAUUUUUAUUAUUAUAGUCCAGGACUAUUGGUAAUGUAAACUCUUUAUCAGUAUAUCCUGUUUUAUUUAGAGUAUUGCUUUUGAUUAAAGAUUCCCUAUCGAUACUAGUUAUCAUCUCUAUAUUUUCUUCUAUCUUUUCUUUGUCAUAUCCCUUCUCAAUAAAUUUUUCUUUUAUUUCUUUCGCCUGGAUUUUAAAGAUUUCUUUAUCUGAGCAGUUCCUUUUUAAUCUUAAAAGUUGACUUUUGGGAAUACUGUUUAGCCAGUUUUUAUGAUGACAACUAUCUGUUUCAAUGAAAUUAUUAACAUGGACCUCUUUAAAGUGCGUUUUAGUGCAUAUUGUAUUAUUAUUGAUAUAGAUGUCCAAGUGAUAUGGAAGGGUCCACUAGAAUCUGCCAAACUAUUUAUAGAGUUUUUAAAUAACAAUGAUAAUGGUAUUAUUUUAAAAGCUGAUUUUAGUAAAACUAACGUUACUUUUUUAGACUUGGACAUCUAUAUCAAUAAUAAUACAAUAUGCACUAAAACGCACUUUAAAGAGGUCCAUGUUAAUAAUUUCAUUGAAACAGAUAGUUGUCAUCAUAAAAACUGGCUAAACAGUAUUCCCAAAAGUCAACUUUUAAGAUUAAAAAGGAACUGCUCAGAUAAAGAAAUCUUUAAAAUCCAGGCGAAAGAAAUAAAAGAAAAAUUUAUUGAGAAGGGAUAUGACAAAGAAAAGAUAGAAGAAAAUAUAGAGAUGAUAACUAGUAUCGAUAGGGAAUCUUUAAUCAAAAGCAAUACUCUAAAUAAAACAGGAUAUACUGAUAAAGAGUUUACAUUACCAAUAGUCCUGGACUAUAAUAAUAAAAAUAGAGAAAUGAAAAAGAUUAUCAAUAAAAACUGGCACCUACUAAAAGAAGAUGCUAUACUAGGUACUAUUAUUCCGGAUAAGCCAAAAAUAAUAUUUAGAGGGGCACCUAACUUAAAAAUGCAACUUACAAAAAACUUCACAAGACAGGAGAAAAGCUCCAAUGCCCUUAAGAAUUUUUUACAAACUAAAAAUGGGUUUUAUAGAUGCAACUGCUGUAUAGCAUGCAGAAAAACUAAAAAGAUAGACAGACAUACUUUAAACUUUAAAUCAAAUAAUACCAAUAAAAUUUAUCAAAUUAAAGACACUAUUACCUGUAUGAGCAAAAACGUUAUAUACCUUUUAGAGUGUCCAUGUGGCUUACAGUAUAUAGGAAGAACUAUAAGACCUUUGAAAACCCGAAUAGGGGAACACUGUAGAAACAUAGAGAAAGGUUUUAAAAAUCAUCUAGUAUCAUCCCAUUUCGAAAUACACAAGAAUGAUCCUCGUGAGUUAAAAUUUAUGGGUAUCACUAAGAUGCCACAAUAUUGGAGAGGUGGAGAUAUGAUCAAAAGAUUGGGCAAAAAAGAAAUGGAGUGGGUGUACUAUUUAGACACCCUACACCCGAAAGGAUUGAAUGCUGAAUUCGACCUUUUCAAUUUUUUAUAAUAAAUAUAUAUAUAUAUAUUUAUUUUAUUUUUUCCCUCUCUUUUUGUCAUUCUUACCUCAAAGUUGGGAUCAUUCCCUAUAGUGGUUGUCUUUUUGUUUGUAUAGUGCGAUAAAUAAAUUCUUGAGUAUAAACUAUAUUUGGCAUCUCUAAUAAUCAAGAGUAUUUCUCUAUUUUCCUAAAAUAUAUUUUUAUUUGUAUAGAUUACAUUAAGUAUGCCUUAUUACAUCAUCACUAUCAGAUUAACCACUGUAGGCUAUGUUUUCCCAAUAAGGAUGUAUAUACACUACUGGAAUCUGUUUGCUCACAGUAAUCACUAUAUAUCAUGUUGUGCAUGCUUCACUGAUAAUAUGAAUUGAUUAUACUGUAUUUGCACAUUAAAAUUAUACAUUGUAAUAGAUUUUAAGAGACUACAUAUCCCAGCUACCAUUUAUGGCAUGGCAUUUCCGGUUUCCGGCUUAUGACUACGAAUACAACAGAUGGACACUUGGGGAAACUACAUUUCCCAUCAUAUACUGGUACUCGCGGCACGUCACUUCCGGUUGACGGCCGCGAUCUGAACUGCAUGCCUCAUAUGGACUACAUCUCCCAGUACAUACUAAUGGUCGCGGCGCGUCAUUUCCGGUCGACGCCCGCGACCAAACAGGAAAUAGGAAGAACAGCACCACACCAGAUUAUUAUCGAACUAUCAGCUCUCCCUAUAUAAACCGGGCGGAAUGCCAAGGACAUCCUCUCUUUUGAAAAAGCCCAAACCCGGGCGAAACGCGUCAAGGAUAGGAUUUGAAGUUACUAUAUAUGUUUUUUAUAUACUUUUAUUUAUAUAUAUUUUAAUAUAUUUUUUUUAACAAUAAAUUUCAUUGCCUUUUUUCAAAUCCCUUGGCUUUUGCAUAUCUUCUGGUGCUGCUGCUUUCCUGUUAUAUCCUGUGGUGGGGAUUAUACCACCAUAAGCUGUCAUCACCAGAGCAAGUCAUUGCUCUGGAUACUGUAAGUAGGAUACCUACUUUUUUCUAUAUUAUUUCCAGUUUAUGAUACUGUACCAUUGGUCUGUAUAUUUUGUUUUUUUCAUAUAUAUACGACCGUUGAAUUUGGACCUCCUGGUAUAUUCAGAUCCUAAGACGGGGAUUGUACCGUCCAGGCGUUAUACGGCAGAGCUCCUAGCAGCUCGGUAAAGUGUGAGUUUGCUCUUUACUCACAGUGUAUCUUAUUUAUACAUUACUAUAAUACCUUUACAUAUUGCACUAUUAUUGUUUAUUGUUUUCUUUGAGGUUUCCAUAUGCUGUAACAUUCAAGAACUUCAUAUCCUAAGACGGGGAUUGUACCGUCCAGGCGUUAUACGGCAGAGCUCCUAGCAGCUCGGUAAAGUGUGAGUUUGCUCUUUACCCACAGUGUAUCUUAUUUAUACAUUACUAUAAUACUUUUGCAUAUUGCACUAUUAUUGUUUAUUGUUCUUUUUGAGGUUCCCAUAUGCUGUAAAAUUCAAGAACUACAUGUAUGUAUAUAUAUGAUUAUUUGAUUACUUAUUCUUUUGGCGCGGUCUACCACUUUUUCUUUUUCAUUUUGAAUAUUUAGAUGUGUCAGACAGUUCACUUAUUAGAACACUUUGCCUAUGUUUAGAACAGGAGUGUCAAAGCAGGUCAGAUGAUAUUUAUAGGGAUACUAUAGUCACCAAAACAACUUUAGCUUAAUGAAGACAUUUUUGUGUAUAGAUCAUACUCCUGAAGUCUCAUUGCUCAAUUCACUGACAUUUAGGCGUUAAAUCACUUUUGUUCCUGUUUAUGCAGCCCUAGCCAUACCUCCCCUGGCUAUGACUGACACAACCUGCAUGAAAACAAAAUGGUUUCAUUUUCAAUCAGAUCUUAAAUUGCUUUCAAAGUUUUUAUCUCCUCCUCUGUAAAUUGAACUUUAUUCAAAUACAGAAGGUAUUUAGAAAAUUCUAAAUUAAACAGAAUUUUCAAUAAAGGUAAAAGUGUAAACAUUAGAUCUCUCUUUACAGGAAGUGUUUAGGAAGGCUGUGUAAGUCACAUGCAUGACUAGGACUGUAUAAACAAAGUGAUUUAACUCCUAAAUGGCAGAGGAUUGAUCAGUGAAACUCAAGGGAUAUGACCUAUAUACCAGAAGUGCUUCAUUAAACUAAAGUUGUGUUGGUGUGUAUAGUGUCCCUUUAAAGAUUUAGCAAACUACAUCAUGAUCCAGUUCAGACAAUGCAAAGCCGGGGCAAACAUUACAGAUGAGGACGAGAAAUAGAAACCUUUUUUCAUUUCUCCUCUUCUCUGUAUGUUUUCCCUAUGCUGACUGCCAGGUGCAAAGUACAGAGCUUAUUACAAUGAUUGAUCAAAAAGUAAGAUGGAGACACCCAGAUGCAGGGUAAUGGGAUAAUGAGGUGUUGAUUUCUCUGUGUAAUUUUAUUCUUCACGUUUAGCUAUAACUGUGUUAAUAUAUACAUAUAACAUUCUGGGAAUUGAUAUUUCCCCUUUUUUUCUCCACGUAUCAUUUUUAUUGGUAUAAAUGUAAAUUAGUUACAAGUUUUUUUUUUUUUUUUUUUUUUCAUGUCACACAUUUCAUACAACAUUACAAAUAUCACAUAGCGUCUCAAUCGUCUUGUACAGAGUAACAAUAUCAGGAUUAACAUGGACAAGUCACAAACAGCUUAUUGAUAUACAUUCAUGGCUAGAGAUCGUCGCAUUUGUGUGUUAACCACCUUUGAAGGGUUGUGUCCCCCCAUACAUAGAUCAGGAAGUAGCCUAGCUGAAAGCUAUUGUCAUAAAUACUGUGGUAUAAGUGUGAAUUACAAGGUUAUAAUGUAUAUGUGUUAUCGAAAUAUACAUUUGACACACAUAUCACUUUAUCGCCUCUCCUGAGACCACCCAGUAGAUGCAUCCUCAAAUUCACCAUUUUGCUCCAAUGAGUGGAUAAUGUGCAAGAGUAGUAAAAGGAGAACAAGGAGCGCCAAGUGGAUAAGAGUGUCUUGUGGCUCAGAAUGUGGUUUGAUAACUAUUGACGUGCUUCACUUUGACACCAUUUUUGUUGGUGUGCUGUGAUAUAUAUUGUAUAUCACAGAGCCCCAGAAAUAUGGAUAUAUAAACUUAACAAGUUAUAACAUAAUGUGUGUAGACAGUAGACCCAUAUCCUGCAAUAAUUGGGGCUGGGUGUACAGUUAUUGUGAUUCCCAACAGUAUUAAGUUUUAGAUUAGUGUUAUUUAACCCCGACCCAUGACUAUCUCAUUUGGUUCUUUCUAAAUCUAAUCCAGCUCUGCCACUCCUUUGCAAAUUGCGCUUCUUUACUGUCAUCCUGUUCCUGCUGCGGAUCAUUUCUGGCGAUGGCUUCUGGUAUCCCGUACUCUUUUUACAAUUCUUGUUUAGUUUUUCUUGGUUUUUCUGGUUUUCUAUUCUAUGUCUGGUUUUCUUUAUGCUGGGUUUUCUGGGUUCAUUCCUUUACUCCGUUCCUGGAAUUCCCAGUCUCUUGAAUUACUUUAAAUGUUUGUUUUUUGUUCCUUUGCCAUUCAUCUUUUUUUUUCUGUCUGGUCCUGCAGGCAGUGGUUUCAUUUCCUCUGCUCCUUUCUUUGCAGGUAAGUUCUGUGUGUAUUUUUUUAUUGUUUAUUUAGUCAUGCAUAUCUAGGCAGUUAGGACACACCGUAAUUGGAGUACUUUGGCGCAGUGGUGGGUUGCAUACAUCUUGGCCAUUUAUGUAUGUCUAAAUCUCCAAUGUUUAUUACACAUAUUAGUACUUAGUUAUGUCUCCUCUUGUUUUGCUUUGUAUCUCUCGUCUUGUUUUAUUUUGUCUUCCCAGUUCAUGUACAGUCCUGUCCCGUCCAUGCCUUGUUCUUGUUUCCCCUCAUGUCUGGUGUACAUGUUCUGCUUUCUGUCCUGCUCCGGUUCUGGGUUCGUCUAGUCUUAUCUUGUUUGGUGCCUAUUCUAGUCUUGCCUUGUUUAUAGUACUGGAUACAUCUCUGUUGCAGAGCCUCCCUAUCCAGAUCCUGGGAGGUCUGCAUAUUUUCUCCUAGCUCCUGGGAUCUGCAGAAACUGCAUCAGGGCCCUGGUAUGUGGCCGCACAAACCCUGGUGCUCAACACCAGGGGGCGUGUGGUUACCCUGCACCAGGCCCUGAUUGUUCAUUUCCACGAGGAUGACUCCUAUCAUCAUCAGGCACACAGGGGUCCCGGUCUCCGUAACGCCACCCGUGACAUUUACCCUUUAGUCUAUAUGCCAUUUCUUCAUAUCGACUUGCCCUGUCUAUUCUGGACCUCGUGCUUGGUGGGAACAUGGGUAGAUUUCCAUUAUGCUGCAAUAGCAGUCUUGGCAACUAGUAGAACAUGUAUGAUGACUACUUUCUGUUCGAUAGUUUUAAUGUUGGGGAUUAGAUGUAAUAAAAAACCAUUCUGGGUGAGGGGGUAUCUUAACAUUCAGUGUUGAGGAUAGGAAUUAUGCAAUUAACCUCCAAAAUGGCUUUAACCCCUUAAGGACACAUGACAUGUGUGACAUGUUUUGAUUCCCUUUUAUUCCAGAAGUUUGGUCCUUAAGGGGUUAAAGCAGGGCAGUCCUAAAAGAGGUGACAAAGCGUAUCCCGGUGUUUGUUGCAUCUCCAACAGGUGUCAGAGGAUGGCAGAUACAUAAGGGCCAAUUUGGUGGGUGUUAGGUACCACCUCAUCAGGGAUUUGCAGUAAGCUUCCCAAUGGGAUAAGCUACUUGAGGAGGCCUCGGUCUGUUGAAUAGCUGAGUACCAUUCUGAUAAGGGAAUUGUUUUCCCUAAAUCCACUUCCCAAGUUAUCAUGACAUUUCCCAUUUAAGGACUGUUUUGGUCCAUUCUGGUUGAAAACUAUUGUUCUAGGUUACAUAAUCAUUGCACAAGUCAUAGUGGUUAUAUUGCUUUCAGUGUGCCUUUUUCAAUAUAACGUUUAGCAUAUUGUUAAAAAGUGAAUCCAAGCAAAAAAUAUGUUUUAAAAAAUAGUUCCCUCUUUAAGAGAAAAAAAUAAUAAUUAAGAAAUAAAGCAAAAACUUGCCUGCGAUUCCAUGCUGAGGCCAAGGUCUCCAUGGGACCCAGUCCUCCUUCAGUUAUAUUACUCCCCCUUACUGCAGGCGCCAGGGGAAUGAAUGUUUUGAAGUAUGAACUCUAGGACACAACACAUCCUUGGGAGCAAAUGCUGAUAGAUGUUUUCAAUGUAAAUGAGUAAAUAUCCAUUAUGUUAUCUUCGGUUUUGGAGUAAGCUUGUUACUUUAAAAAUGGUUUAUUAUGGAGUAAGUGUGGAAAGGUUUUAGAAUACAGAUGAUCCUCACUUACUGACCGGGUUCCGGUUUUACGUCUCCGUCAUAAAACAAAUUGGUUGGUAAGUAAGGAUGCGCUUGAGAGCAGUUCUAUGUUCGGGCAAUUCCCCCGAACAUAGACCAGCUCACUUGCACAGGGAAUAUCUCAAAUCUAUGUUCAGGGGAAAUUUCCCAAACAUAGACAACAUCUCUAAUGCGGGGAAUACCUUGGAGCCCCGCACUGGAGAAAUGGUCAUAAGUCUGAGCUUUCAUUAUGUAGGUAAGUCACAAAGUGAGGACUACCUUUACUCGAAAUGGUGACAUUGAUACAGUACAUAAAUCAAAUUGAACACAAAGGUUGAUAAUAGUGGAAAUGAUAAAAGACAAAGGGAAAUCUGAAUAACAAAUAGAUAGAAAAGAAAAAAAAAAAUAUAAAAGAAAAAUACAAGAGAAUGUAAAAGUGAAAGGGUAUAGGCGGGCAAAUAAAAAGAGAAGUAUGAAAGCGGAGUCCAAAUGUUGCGUAAAUUCUUUGUAUAAAUAACCUACCAUCUGCUUCGGGUCUCUUAGCUGAUCCAAUAAGAACAUUGGGGGUAUCUCCAAAAGCCAACGACCAUGAAACAACCUAUUUUCAACAUGAAAUAAAUGCUUCAGGAUAGAGUUUUUUUCACUUUGAAAUUGAGAUAUAACAGAGUAAGAUCAUGCAUGUGGAAUUGCUCGGGUCGUUCCAUGAACCUUUUGAUAUUCCACCAACAUGGUUGAAUUAAGGGACCCUGUAACUAAGUCAGUAGACAUGUUCCAGGAUAUGAAAAAUGUCAUCGUCAAAAGUCUAGGGAAUUAUCCUACAGAACAAUGAAGGAGUAUUAUACCACCUCAUGAGUAAUUUGGAAGCAAAUUCUUGAAACACAAUUUUACUUAGAUGGAAAUAUUGAACUUGGUUUCCUGCUUCCAUGUGAAAUAUAGAUGGGAAGUCUGUAGAGGAAAUCCAAGUACAUUAAACUGAGGACAGGUUGAACUGGAGAAGUAGAUAUGUUUUCAUAUGUUGGUGUCUGGAGAAAGAGGAGAGGAAGGAAGUGGGACAUCUGGUCAUAAUGAAAGCAGUUCUAUUGCAUUGGUAUACUACCCAUAGAUAGAGAUGGCAAUGUUUGCAUCUUCCCACUGGAGCUGAUGUGAAGUAUUGCAGUGGUCAUGAGCAUGUACUAGGGGCAUGUCUGAGAUAAAUCCAUCCCUGUCAGUGCAAGUCAGGGAUACUAGUGAGGGGUAUGUGGAUAUUCUUCAUUCCUUUAAUAGAUUUGUUUUUCCAGCCUUCAAUAGUACAAUAGGUGUUAGAAAGGGCUGGACAAGAAAUACAAAUCAGCCCUGGAACAUUCUUUAUAUCAGCCCUUAUUUGCUGUUUAAUCUGUGUUUAAUCAUGUUGAUCUAGCCUGUGUCAAUUAGGUGGUUCCAACAGGGUUAACUAAUUCUGCUUAACGAUCCGAAUCUUUUGUACGCAUGUUACUUAAUUUUCAAUUUUAUAUGUCUUGUUUCCGCAUGCCUUUGUUUUCAUUAUUCUAACCAUGAGAAAUCUAUAGCCAAUAUACAUGUACACACUAUGGUUACACAAUGGGCUAGUAUAGAUUAAUAUGUGGGUUGGUAUUUAUUGUCAAUAUGUCUUUAUUUGCAUAACAGUUCCAGGGUGAAUGAUUGUGUGUAUAAAGUUUUUAUCAUGGAAAGCAGGGGUAUAUUGUAAAUUCUACCAGGCUGGAAAUAAAAUUAGAUGUGUAUAUUUGUACCACAGUCCCAAGCCCACUAGUUCAUGACUAUAUACAGUUGUGUGUGAUUACAUACAUACGAUAAGUCUUACAAGUACAUUUAGCUGGGUCCCUAUAAGCAACUCUAGAACCCGUGAAGAAUUGUAGGAUCGAGGCUUGAAAAAAGAAGUGUGUAAGCGGAACGGUAAGAUAUUAUUUGUUGUCCACUGAAAACUUCCCUUACAUCAUAAUCUGUGAAUGUUACCUAAGUCUAGGCAGGUCAGUACUGUAACGAAGCUGUCAUUAGGACGUAAUUUAUUGCCAUCUCGUGCAAUUUUAAGAGCAUUCGGACGAGACAGCCAAAUUGAGUUAACAAGUAUUCUCCUUUGGGAAAAAUCCAAAACAAGCCUUUUAUUUCAGUUAUUCGUGUAGUAAUUCACUAAACUGGGAAUUGUUAAGUAUUAACUGAAGAAUUUCACAUUUCAGACCAACAUAAUGGGCUGGAAAAAUACCCUGCUCUGAUAAUUUUUUGAUACUCUCUAAAAACAAGGUUGAAGUGGUGUUUAAUACAAACGUACGUGUUUCUAACCCCUUUAAAACAGAUGACAUUUCAGGACAAUGUUGAUAGUAAUACAAAGUGAUUUGUCAAAUAUUUGUCAUAAAUUACUUUAUAUAUCUGCCCCCUUUGCAUAUGUUGCACCUCCCCAUUUUGUUCCUUUGAAUGAUCGCUAAUGAAAUGGUCUGGGUGCAGUGGUUCUAUUAUUUUAACCCUGCAGUGUAAAACGUUGCAGUUAUUUUACAAACUGCAGUUUUUAGAAAUGGGACAGAGGGGAAGGGGGGGAGGUGUCCAAAGUAAUGUUACCGCUUUUAUGGAUAGGCACUACUCUCACAGUCUUCCAAAGUUUGGGUAUGUAUCCUUACACCAAGGAUUCGUUAAUUAGGGUUGUGACAGGUUUAGCAAUUGCCGGCGCACUGAGCUUCAACAGCAUUGCUGGGAUUUGAUCAGGUCCAGAUUGUUUUUUCAUUUGUAAAUUAUUAAGGUGUUUCUUAGGUACAAGUCUAAAAAUUAACUUGUCUAUAUUGGGUCUUUGCAAAUUAAGUGGGGCCUGAUCCACAUUUGUAGUUUCAGGAUGUGUGUCAUUUAUAGCUUAUCAGGGUGGUGGAGCAUCUGACAAAAUAAUUGUUAAAGGCAUUUGCUACUUAUAAGAGAAGUUGCAGGAUUUGGUUACCCACUUUGACGGUGGAGAGUUGCGAGUGGAUUGGGGGAAUUUGUAAUUUAUUUAUGACUUUCCAAAAGUUUCUAGGGUUUGAUAUGUUAUUGUUCAGAUUUUCACAGAAAUAAUGGGCAUUGGCCAAUUUUAUUUUGUUUAGUGCAUAUAUUUCUCCCUUGUCUAUAUGCACAGUUCAUAGAGCCAGUACACUUGAACUUUGACCACAAUGGUCAAACUGGUACAUUUGAAUAAGGUCAGCUGUGAUCAGUGACGUACACACAAUCCAUGGGGCCCCGCUGCAAAACUGAUCCAUGGGGCCCCCAAAAAAUUAAGUAGGGUUUUAUACUUUUGUGGGAUGGGGGUUGGAGGGCUUGAUUUCAACACUCUCCACCAGCACUCAGCAGAUAAAUUACAGCAACAAAGCAGGCCAUAAUGUAUAAGAAUUUGGUUUUCAGAUUGUGGUUAGUGUUGCUUAAAGGACCAUUAUAGUGCCAAGAAAACAUACUCGUUUUCCUGGCACUAUAGUGCCCUGAGGGUGCCCCCACCCUCAGGGUCCCCCUCCCGCCCGGCUCUGGAAAGGGGAAAGGGGGUAAAACUUACCUUUUUCAAGCGCUGGGCGGGGAGCUCUCUGCCUCCGAUCCUCCUCCGAUCCGCCCCGUCGGCUGAAUGCGCACACGCAGCAAGAGCUGCGCGCGCAUUCAGCCGGUCACAUAGGAAAGCAUUCAUAAUGCUUUCCUAUGGACGCUGGCGUGCUCUCACUGUGAAAAUCACAGUGAGAAGCACGCAAGCGCCUCUAGUGGCUGUCAAUGAGACAGCCACUAGAGGAAAUAGGGGAAGGCUUAACCCAUUCAUAAACAUAGCAGUUUCUCUGAAACUGCUAUGUUUAUGAAAAAAUGGGUUAACCCUAGCUGGACCUGGCACCCAGACCACUUCAUUAAGCUGAAGUGGUCUGGGUGCCUAGAGUGGUCCUUUAAGAGGGUAGUAGUAGGAACAUGACAAGAGUGUGAAUCGUGUUACAAGGAUUAUUAACAAAGUCAAAUUUGGAGCCAUGUACAAGAAGGGAGGAGAUGAAAACAAACAUUAAGUAGGUUACAAUAAUACAUAUAUGGUGAGGAAGUAGUACUUACACUACACAUAUGGCUAGGUACAGAACACAAACAUAAAUUCAGCAAGCACAACAGCUUGUGGAUGAUAAUGAUAAUGUUGAUUGAAGCACUGUCUGCUGUUUUCCUCCUUAGUGAUCUCCUUUGGUAAACUCCUAGGAUUCAGGGCACUUAUUGGAAGUUGGCACACAGAUGGAAUGUGGCCCGUGCUCCCUACGGCCGUAUGCUCCCCAGUGACUUAUCUAAAUAGGGAUUCCGCUCAGCCUAGAGACAGUCAAUUGGCUAUAAAGUUUGACACAAGAGAUGGGAGGGAUUUGACGAAUAGACUGCACUAAUGAAUCAAGUUUGUCAGAUUAAAGGCAAAAAUACAUAGAAUGAUAAUACAUUGUGGUGGGGUGGUGGGGUGAGACAGUCGGUGUUGCAGGGUAGGUAACCUUUUAGCAGCACUGUGCCGAAAUAAGAUUGUGAUGUCCCGUAGCAUGCCGGUCCUAUUUUUUUAAAUUGAGGUGUGUAUGUUGCCGUAUUCUGCUUGUGUUAUUUAUACUGCAGUUGCUUUGCAUUGUUGUAUUUGUGCGUGUAUGAGCUAUUAUAUAUGUUCACAAGUAGUGGUCGUGUUGUGUAUGAUACCUAUGAAUGUGGGCUGUGUAUGGGGCUGCUUAUGGAAUUGUGUGUCUGGAUGGAUAUGUCACAUUGUGUGUUUUGUAGUGUGUAUGUUUGUGUCUGCUUGUGGUAUUGCAUGUGAGAGACUGCAUGUGUUGUUGUGUGCAUAUAUGUGGAUUGUUAGUGGUAUUGAGUUUGUGGGGGUUGUGUGUAUGUUUGUGUGUGGGCUGUUGGUAUUAUUUGUAUGAGGAGAGAGUUAUUCUGCAUUUCUGUGUAUAUCUAGCAGUUUGGGUGGCUUUCCUGGGUUCCAGUGGUACCAGGCUGGCCAGGUACAGGUCAAGGACAGGAGCUGUAGCUGCAGGCUGCUCUACUACAGUGUGGAUUCCCAUUCACAAGUGCUGGGAGGAAGUGAUCUGAGAUCACUACCUCUAUGUGCUGCAAUGCAUAUAUUGAGGAUUGGCAAAAACAAGAAUAAUAGGUUGCGCUACAAAAAUAACAAAUGGAAAGGGAUAAGUAUAUUGUACUAACAAACACUUUAAAACAUAAAUAAAGAGAAUAUAUAAAAAAAAAUUUUUUUUUUUUUAAAUAUAUAAAAAAUGAUAGUUCAAAUACUUGAUAUACUUUUGGUAAGUUCAAAUGAAUGAAUGAUAAUUACAGUACUUGGUAUAUUUCUCUUUCAGGUUCCGGUAAGUAUAUGAGGGUAGUGAGUCCAAUAGGGGACUGGAUCUUCUAAUCUUUUAGAGGAGUCUUGAUUCGGAGGUGAACAUGGAAAAUAUAAACAACAAAGACGAUCCAAUAGUGUAGACUGUCUAUUAAUAGGAAGAAUGAUAGGUAGGUAAUACACUCACCUAUCUCAGAGCACAAACUCGUUCUAGUGUGUUGGGCAUUCAGUGGCGUUUAUCCCCCACUGGUAGGAUAUAGGUGAAAAUAAUUCCUCGGUUGUAGAAAGGAGAUAAAAGCAGAAUAUAGUGCUCACUGGAUAUAAGUAAAAUAAAAUGAAAUAAAAGAAUAAAAAUACUCACAUUCGGAUGAGCAGGAUAGACUGCUCAAUAUAAUCGCAUAGGUGGUACAAUCCCCACCCAGGAUUCUUGGUCGUGGGUAGACUCCAAGAUGAUAUAUGACCAGGUAACAGGAAAUUUGUAAAAGUGAAAUAAAAAGGUAUAUGGCAAAAUUAUUAUAAAAAAGCCACUAUUCCUUUAUUAGUACAGUAAAAAAAUAUAUAUAAAAUAGCCAAAACGCGUUUCGCCACACAGGGCUUUAUCAACUGGCAAUAGUAAAAGUCAGCCUGGUACAUAAAUACUUAUAUAAACUUUGCUAAAACAUGCUUAUUCAAAUUUUGGCGCCAAAAUGACGUCAUCAAUAUAAUAUGUAAAAAGCAGAAUCAUUAAAAACAUAAAAAUACGAAAUGCAUAAUGUUAAUAAGACAAUGUAUAAAAUAAUCCAUAAUAUUUUGUAAUAAAACGAGUGUUAUUUAUUAAAAUUGACGAAAAAAUAAAAAGAAAAUCGAUAGUCAUGUGAUCGCAAUCUAAUGCGAUCACAUGGUGAACACUAAUGCAGAGUGGGAAAUGUAGUUGCAGAGAAGGGAGAGGAAAUGUAUGGUCACGUGAUCGCGUGGUAUGGGAUGUAACAACUCAGACGGAGGUCGGCAUCUCACAGCACGCCUCCGUCUGACGUCAGUAGUAGGGGCGGCGUCACUACAUGCCGCAAGUACCCAUGGAGUAUGGAGUGUUCAGACGGAGGCCGGCAACAGAGGGCACGCCUCCGUCUGACAUCAGCAAAUUGGGCGGCGUCUAAUACCGAACAUAAUGAGCCUAUUAAUUCUGCAAGGAUAGAUGGCAUAACAGCCAAUUUUAAACAGAUAUAAAUGUAUAAGGAAAAAAGAAAGCUAAUGAAAAGCUAAAAUAUUAAUUAAGAAGCUAAGUAACUAAGCAUAUAUUACUGAUCUUAUGGUAACAAAUAACCCCUAUGAGCUUGGGGCUAAUACUAAAGUAAAGAAAUAAAAUAAGAAAAAUGAAGAUAAAAAGGGGAUCAAUAAUCUAGUAAUAGCUGAGAAAAUAUUAAUAAAUAAAUAAAGGGGCAAAAAGUGGUGAACUGUGCCCUUAUCAUAGGACUCUGUGUAUAUAGUAAAGACCUGAGGAGAAAAAUAAAAAAAAAUAAAAAAAUAAUAAAUAAAUAGAGGAUAAAAUGUGUAAUAUUUUAUAAGAAGUUAAAAAGGUCAAAUUCAGCAUUUAAGCCCUCAGGAGAAAGAGUCUUAAGUGUAAAGACCCAGUACAUUUCCCUUUUACCUAAAGUUUUUGUCAUGUCUCCACCUCUCCAUGGGAGAGUAACUUGUUCUAUCCCAGUUACUUUUAAAAGUGUCGGGUCUUUGUUAUGUAUUAAAAAAUGCUUGGAGACUGAAUGAUUUUCAUAACCUCUUCUAAUGUUACGGCAGUGUUCUGCCAAUCUUACUUUAAGGCAUCUUUUAGUCAUGCCCACAUAUUGGAGUCCACAUGGGCAUUCCAAUAAGUAUAUCACAUUUUUGGUAUUACAGCCUAUGUAUUCUUUAAUUGUGUAAGAGGUUUUAGUAAUACUAGAGGCAAAAUGGGAUGCCGACCUCCGUCUGAGUUGUUACAUCCCAUACCAUAUGUGCAGCUAGCCACGUGACCGCGGAGGUCCGCGAUCACGUGACCAUACAUUUCCUCUCCCUUCUCUGCAACUACAUUUCCCACUCUGCAUUAGUAUUCACCAUGUGAUCGCAUUAGAUUGCGAUCAUAUGACUAUCGAUUUUAUUUUUAUUUUUUCAUCAAUUUUAAUAAAUAACACUCGUUUUAUUACAAAAUAUUAUGGAUUAUUUUAUACAUUGUCUUAUUAACAUUAUGCAUUUCGUAUUUUUAUGUUUUUAAUGAUUCUGCUUUUUACAUAUUAUAUUGAUGACGUCAUUUUGGCGCCAAAAUUUGAAUAAGCAUGUUUUAGCAAAGUUUAUAUAAGUAUUUAUGUACCAGGCUGACUUAUACUAUUGCCAGUUGAUAAAGCCCUGUGUGGCGAAACGCGUUUUGGCUAUUUUAUAUAUAUUUUUUUACUGUACUAAUAAAGGAAUAGUGGCUUUUUUAUAAUAAUUUUGCCAUAUACCUUUUUAUUUCACUUUUACAAAUUUCCUGUUACCUGGUCAUAUAUUAUCUUGGAGUCUACCCACGACCAAGAAUCCUGGGUGGGGAUUGUAUCACCUAUGCGAUUAUAUUGAGCAGUCUAUCCUGCUCAUCCGAAUGUGAGUAUUUUUAUUCUUUUAUUUCAUUUUAUUUUACUUAUAUCCAGUGAGCACUAUAUUCUGCUUUUAUCUCCUUUCUACAACCGAGGAAUUAUCUUCACCUAUAUCCUACCAGUGGGGGAUAAACGCCACUGAAUGCCCAACACACUAGAGCGAGUUUGUGCUCUGAGAUAGGUGAGUGUAUUACCUACCUAUCAUUCUUCCUAUUAAUAGACAGUCUACACUAUUGGAUCGUCUUUGUUGUUUAUAUUUUCCAUGUUCACCUCCGAAUCAAGACUCCUCUAAAAGAUUAGAAGAUCCAGUCCCCUAUUGGACUCACUACCCUCAUAUACUUACCGGAACCUGAAAGAGAAAUAUACCAAGUACUGUAAUUAUCAUUCAUUCAUUUGAACUUACCAAAAGUAUAUCAAGUAUUUGAACUAUCAUUUUUUUAUAUAUUUAAAUUUUUUUUUUUUUAUAUAUUCUCUUUAUUUAUGUUUUAAAGUGUUUGUUAGUACAAUAUACUUAUCCCUUUCCAUUUGUUAUUUUUGUAGCGCAACCUAUUAUUCUUGUUUUUGCCAUUUCUCUUUUGAGGACUUUAGAGGGAACCCCAUAUCACGCAGCGCUGAUCCGUUUUCUACCUAUAUAUUGAGGAUUGUCCUUCACCAUCUUUUCGUAUUAGCAGAUAUCUGAAGACUCACUGGGACUCCUGAUAGGACAGAGCCUGUUUGGCUCUAGCAGCCUUGAGUGCAAAGUCACCUUGAGUGCUGUGCAUGGCACACGUGCCAUAGGUUGCCUUCUGUUAUGCUACUUGGAUGAUUUGGAUUGGAACUCAACUGCAGCUUGUAAAACUUCCUAAUUACAAUAGUGAAGAAACGGAGAAUCUUUAAAGUAUCAAUACUGUAGCUUUAAGAAAGGAGAGGAUUGCUGGCACUUUGAGAAUCAAAUGAAGUUUUAAUAAUUGUUACACUUAAUGAAUUGCAUUUAGGCAAUAAUCCAAUAAGAAUAAGUGAAAUUCAUUAAACAAUACAAAGUUCAUCAAUAAGUAUUUUCUCAGAGAUAUAUUAAAUAAGAUUCAUUAGGUUGCUAGGAAUAAUCUUCAAUAAUGAUACUUAGCAGGUAGCAAAGUAUUUGCAAAGCAAGAAACAGUUCCUAGUGAUUAAGCUUGGUGGAAGUUGUCCUCCAUAUAAUUAGUAGCUUGAAGCAGUGAAGUUUUAAGCAAGCAGUAAAUAGUUUAUCAAUAAAUGAGAUAGCAGAGAAUAGCUGAAAGGUAUACUUAAGGUUAAGGUGAGUUAUCCUCCAAGAGUUCAAAGUUAUAGUCCACUUGAUAAUUAACAAGUAUCAAUUCUCCAGUAAUCCUCCAUGGCAUGCAGUAUCAUCCAUGCAUUAGCUCAAAGGCUAGAAAGGCUUGUCAGAGUCUAUGGAGCCGGCGUGUAUACCAUGAAGUCGGUCCCACAUUGUCAGAGCCUUGGGAGCCGGCGAGUAUGGCGGAAGUAGGUCACACAAUCACCAAACGCCCUCUCUCUGGUGCGGACUGCUUAAGUACAGUUAGAGCCGCAUCAGAGGGGGGCGGGGUCAGCUCCGCAUCGCGGAAGUGUCGAACCCGGAAGUGUUACCGCAUGACAGGUCCCCCCACCUAAGGAGCACACUCCGUGUGCUGUUACCUCGGUUUCUGAGGGUACCUUCUCUGAAAUGCAGUAAUUAACUUCUUUGCAUGCAUUUCAGAGGAAUUCUCCCAGGUGUUAUCUUCAUCUCCAUAACCCUUCUAUUUAAUAAGGUACUGUAAAUUACCUCUAUGAAGUCUGGAGUCAAUACUUUUUUCUAUUUCAUAUUCCAAUUCACCUUGAACUUCAAUGGGGUCUGGCUUCACCAAUUGUUCCCUAUGGAAGGGAUCUGGGAGAAAAGACUUUAGGAGUGAAACAUGGAAAACAGGAUGAAGUUUAAGUGAUGGAGGAAGUUUCAAUUUCACAGUAUUUUCAUUAAUAAUGGAUUCAAUUUGAAAAGGUCCAAGAAAAAGAGGACUUAGUUUCUUAGAAGGACGGUUAGUAGAAAUAUUUUUUGAAGAUAACCAAACAGUGUCACCAAUUUUAUAUUUAGGAGGAUCUCUAAUUUUAACAUCAUAACUCCUUUUAUAUAAGGACAUAGAACUUUUAAGGUUUUUCUUUAAUUGCUUGAACAAUGAGGACAUUUCCAUAUUUUGAAUAGAAACCAUUGGAUUAGAAGUUGUCUUGGGAUCAUCAGGAAACAAGGAG